GACGAACGCUGGCGGCGUGCUUAACACAUGCAAGUCGAACGGAAAGGCCCUGCUUGCAGGGUACUCGAGUGGCGAACGGGUGAGUAACACGUGGGUGAUCUGCCCUGCACUUCGGGAUAAGCCUGGGAAACUGGGUCUAAUACCGGAUAGGAGCCAUUUUUAGUGUGAUGGUUGGAAAGUUUUUUCGGUGUAGGAUGAGCUCGCGGCCUAUCAGCUUGUUGGUGGGGUAAUGGCCUACCAAGGCGGCGACGGGUAGCCGGCCUGAGAGGGUGGACGGCCACAUUGGGACUGGGAUUCGGCCCAGACUCCUACGGGAGGCAGCAGGUGGGAAUAUUUCCCAAUGGGCGCGAGCCUGAUGCAGCGACGCCGCGUGGGGGAGGACGGCCUUCGGGUUGUAAACUCCUUUCGCUAGGGACGAAGCUUUUUGUGACGGUACCUAGAUAAGAAGCACCGGCUAACUACGUG
rnacentral:rRNA from 1 species